AAAUUGAAGAGUUUGAUCAUGGCUCAGAUUGAACGCUGGCGGCAGGCCUAACACAUGCAAGUCGAGCGGUAGCACAGGGAGCUUGCUCC
rnacentral:rRNA from 1 species